GGGGGAUUGGGAAUUCCUAGUGUAUCUAUGAAUUUCUUAGGGAGAAGAAAGAACACCGGUGGCGAACUCUCCUUGCUUGUUCUGCAUUGACAAUGAAGAACGAAAGCCAGGGAAGCAAAAUGUAUUAGAUACCCCUGUAGUCCUGGCUAUGCACGAUGGGUACUAGGCGUUGUCUGUAUCGACCCGGGGAGGGCCGGACCUAAUUCAUUUAGUACCCCGCCUGGGGAGUACGCGCGCAAGCAUGUAACUGAAAUGAAUUGACCGGGGCCCGCACGAACGGUGGAUUAUGUUAUUUAAUUCAAUGCAACAAGCAUAUCCUUACCUGGGCUUGACAUGCCUAGAAACUACUUAAAACAUGAGCUGCCUAGAUAGAGCGAGGUGACGGGUGGUGCUCGUGUGUCCUCGUC
rnacentral:rRNA from 1 species